rnacentral:lncRNA from 1 species
GCUUGUUUGCACUUUGGAACACCUCGUGCUUCCAGAGCCGGCCCAUCCUGCUGGGGAGGGGAGAGGUCCCAGCGCUGCUGUCUGGCAGACCUUGGUUUCGGUGGGCACCAGAAGCGAGGCAGAUUGCUUGCUGCUGCAACUUCACGCGUGAGCUCCAGGCUCCCCUGGUUGGAAGGUGCCAGGGAGUGAGGCGGUUUUAAGAUUCCUUCAACAUCAGGAUUCCCGAUCAUCUCAUCAACCGACUUGUUAAGAAAACUGAGGCCCAGGGAAGUGGCUCACAAUUGUGUAGAAUUGUGAGGUGUCUUGACUGCUGGGCCAGGUAUCCGGCAAAUAAUGGCAGGGGGCAGGGGCAGGCGUGCAGCACCCCAAGGGUAUGUCAGGCCUGGAGACUGACUUCAGAACAGGUCAACCUUCCUCAAAGGUGACAGUCUGACACCAGCAUGGGCUUCAACAAGAACACAAGAUACAGGCUGGUGCCCUUGGGAGCUUGGCUUACCCAGACCAGUCUCGGGAUGGCCUUCCCAGGGCCCUGUGGGAACCGAGGAACCCUGGCUUCCCAGGUCCAGUGACCAACAAAAAAAUAACCCUCUUCACAAAGAGACGUUGUUUGCUUUUCGAGGCCAUCCCACCUCUUGUUUUCAGUAUAAAUGACUGUAACAAUAUUUGCUAUGUCAAGGCCAAUGCCACUUUUAUCCUGGGGAAUGAGAAACUCUGUGACAAGUAAACUUAUUCAAGAUGGAGAAAAUUAGACUACAUCUAUUCUGUGUCUCUUAGUCCCCACUUCACAGAUAUAAAAAGAGAGGCACAGGGAGGUUAAAUAAAUUGCUAAUCAUGACUUUCUAAAAUAAACUGGAAGUGAGUUAGUGCCAAGGAAGUGAGUUAGCGCCAAAAUUCUUUGGUCAAGAAAAUUCUUCUUUGGGGGCCUGGGCAACAUGGCAAAACCCUGUCUCUGCAAAAAAUACAAAAAUUAGCCGAGUGUGUUGCACACGCCCGUGGCUCCAGCUACUAGGGAGGCUGAGGUGGGAGGAUUGCUUGAGCCCAGGAGGUCAAGGCUGCAGUGAGCUAUGAUGGCACCACUGCAUUCCAGCCUGGGAGACAGAGUGAGACCUUGUCUCAAAAAAACAAAACAAAAACAAAACAAAACAAAAAAGAAACUUCUGUUUUGGGUCUUGGAGUGGAUAUGGAGGUCAUGAAGGUCGUGAAUUUACAAAACAUCUCUCUCUUUUUGUUUAGAAGUGUAACUGCUCUAGGAAAGAAUUUGACUUUAACUCAGACUAAAAUGUCUUCAUAACAACAGCAAAACAACGAAGUAGGAUCUCAUAGAAAGGUCCUCGUUAACUGCCUGUAUGCAGAGCAGUGGGCCUUAAGCUCCACUGCCUGUGCUCAAGUCACCUUCAAGGCUUGUGGAAUUAGAUUGCGGAGUCCCAUCCUCAGAGUUUCUGAGCUCGUAAGUCUCAGGCGGGGAUCCUUAGUUUGCAUUUCUUUCUUUCUUUUUUGAGAUGGAGUCUUGCUCUGUUGCCCAGGCUGGAGUGUAGUGGUGUGAUCUUGGCUCACUGCAGCCUCAACCUCCUCAAGGCUCCAAAGUAGCUGGGACUACUCCUUUGUAUUUUUGUAUUUUGUGUGUGUAGAGAUGAGGUCUUGUUAUGUUGCCUAGGCUGGUCUCCAACUGCUACCAUCCUCCUGCCUCAGCCUUCCAAAGUGCUGGGAUGACAGGUGUGAGCCACCUAGCCUGGCCGUUAGUUUGCUUUUUUUUCUGAGACAGGGUCCCACGAUGUCGCUCUGUCGCCCAGGCUGGAGUGCGAUGGCACGACCUCGGCCACUGCAACCUCUGCCUCCCAGGUUUCAGUGAUUCUCCUGCCUCAGCCUCCCUAGUAGCUGGGAUUACAGGCACAUGUCACCACACCCAGCUAAUUUUGUAUUUUUAGUAGAGACGGGGCUUCGCUAUGUUGGCCAGGCUGGUCUCAUAUUCCUAACCUCAAGUGACCCACCUGCCUCAGCCUCCCAAAGUGCUGGGAUUACACAUGUGAGCCACCACACCUGGCCAGAGUUUGCAUUUCUAACACAUUUCCAUGUGAUGAGGAUGCUGCUGGUCCAAGGACCACACUGAGAACCACUGCUGUAGAAGAUACCAUGCAGCACCGACCAGCCUCUUUCUCCCUGCAGGACUGAAGGACGUACGCCCUCUCCCGGAAUCGUCUCAGCUACAGAGAACCACCUUGCCCAAGGUCACCACCCUCUUGCCAAGGGGGUCACUUGGAUCUAAUGAUUGGUUAAUGCUGGGGGGAGGGGGUAAGUCUUGGCCCCCAGCCUCAACAGUGAUGGCGGUGGCUCCGGGGUCAUCCUAGCUUCCGAGUUUCGUCUAGGUUGAGGGCGCCAUGUUGGGACUGCAUCAGCUUCUCUCUCUGCCUGGUUCUGCUUCCUUUACUUUACCAUUUGUUGUUAGUCCAGGGCACACCCCAGUAAACUUCCUGCAUGCGAGUUCAUCUUAGACUGCUUCCCAGGGAAUCGUAUGUACAACACUCGGGAGUAGAGAGUCACUGAAACGGCCCUAGCUCUGAGAGACCCCUCCUGACCAGCCAUCACCCCUCCCGCUCUUCCUUACUCUGAUUUAUUGUCUUCGUAGAAUUUAACUCUCAGGUCUAUGGCCAUACUGCCCUGAAUGCGCCUGAUCUUGUCUGAUUUCAGAAGCUAAGCAGGGUCGUGCCCGGUUAGUACUUGGAUGGGAGAAUUUAGUGCUCGAACACUAUUGCUGUAGCUUUCUUUAAUAAAUAAAUUUGACUGCCUUUCCUGCUAGACUGUAAGCUCUGUGCAUGCAGGGACAUAGUCUCUCUUGUUCUGCAGAGCCAAGAGCAGGGCCUGGUACCUGACAGGCACUCGGACAACACGUACUGAACAAGUGAAUGAACUUCCAGGCAGGAAGAGUCACACAUCCUCACCAACAACUCCUAGGGUUUCAGAGAACUAGAAAGUCUAGGAAUACAGAGGGUGCUUUCAAAAGUGUUGUCUGUAAUUGGAAAUGCCUUAUGUUUGUUUAGUGCUUUAGUUUUAUUCAUUUUUUUUUAAAGCAGUUCAUUCAAUAUUGAUAGCAACCCAUAUUAUCAUAAACCCCCAUGUGGUGGGCAAGAUAGAGGGUUGCUUUGAAGCACUGGGAGAAGAGAAACCGGCCUUGGUGAGUUGAGUCUCUUGCUCAGCCAGGCCCACAUGGAAAUGCUGGUAUCCUGCCUCCUGGACCCAUGGUCCUGUCUCUGUAUCAUCAGCAGAAGCAAACUCAAGUCAGUUGCCACUGAAACUCACCGAGUCUGACUUUCCCCCAUGAAUACUCAUAUGGGGGCCAUUUUAUUGGAGAGGAUUUCAUAUUCACCACCCUGUACGGAAUUCUAAGUGCUAGCUCAGUGCUUUCAGGUGAUUACCAUUCUUUUUUUUUUUUUUUUUGAGAUGGAGUCUUGCUGUUGCCCAGGCUGGAGUGCAGUGGCGUGAUCUCGGCUCCCUGCAACUUCUGCCUCCUGGGUUCAAGCAAUUCUCCUGUCUCAGCCUCUUGAGUGGCUGGGAUUACAGGCGUAUAUCACCACGCCCAGCUAAUUUUUGUAUUUUUUAGUAGAGACGGGGUUUUAUCACGUUGGCCAGGCUGGCCUCGAACUCCUGACCUCAAGUGAUCCGCCCGUCUCAGCCUCCCAAAGUGCUGGGAUUACAGGUGUGAGCCACCGUGCCCAGCCGAUGACCACUCUUUAGAGUUUGGGAUUAUUCUUCCAAAUGGAGAUGAUUCAGCCAUGUCUGAUAUUGGUGAUUUGAGAAGGAGGAUGUCUAGGAUUGAUGCUUUGAGAAGACGAUCUCAAUUUUCUUAGAAUAUGAUUCCUUUUGUCCUUGGAGAGUUAUUUUUAAGUAGCAGAUUCUGGGAACUCCCCAUGCCCUCCACCUCCUACUCCCAAAUUCCGCCCCCGCCCGCCCCCGCGGCCAAGUAGGCCUGGUCUCUAGACGCAUGGAAAGCGUUCAGGUCCACUCAGACUGUGCUGCGAUCUGAAAGAAUGAUAACAUACGAGAAGGCCCUUUGGUCCUACACUGUGAAUGAGUAAGGGGCAGCUGCAAAAUGCUAAGAAUGCUGAGUGCAUUAAGUGAAGUGUUUCUCCCAGGUGUGCACAGGGUGUGGCUUCCAAGGGGAAUGUGGAUGCUGGAAUGAGGGAGGCAGCCACCUAGGCCGGUCAAGUCAGAGGCCCAGCAAGGAGAAAGCGAGCCAAGGCAAACGCCGACAGAAGAGAACGAUAAAUCCGCGGCGCACUCGGCAGAACGUACACCGCACCGCAUAAUUUAGCGGGGCAAUGCCGCCGGGAGUCCACGCCAAGUUAAUGGAAUAUUUCCUGUAAAUAUUAUUUUCCCUUCCUGUCUCAUCAUCUCAUUUCAUUCAAAAAUCUUUACUAAUCCGGGGGAGUGAAAGUAAUGCAUCAAUUUCCAGAGCCAAUGCCCCUGCUUCCGAAAUACCCUUAGGAAUCACUGGAAGCCACCGCGGCUGCUUAGGGACAGGGGGGCAGGCCGUUUACUCUGGUUCCUUCUCCUAAUGCCUCAGAGGGGACCCCAUAGUGCUCCUAAUUGUGCAUCUAAGUGUACAUAAAAGCCCCCCUAAUUGCACAUCAAAUAAAUAAGUAAAUGCUGUCUGCUGAAUAUGUAACAAGGACUGAUGUUGCUAUUUCUUCCCAGGGGGGAGAUUUCAUUAAAUCUGGGCUGCAUUUCUAAGUGAUGAUUUACAGAUAUUGAAUAUUCUUUACAAGGGAGGCUUUUUUGGAGUUAUGUGCUUCACAAUAUUUGCUCUAAUGCUUAAAGCCUCAGAUACAGCCUGCUGGAGGUCUCUUUAUUCUAACUCUUAGUGUCCUUUUGGAAAGUCUUUUCUGCUUUAAUGUGUAAUGGCUUCCGAUGAUCAGAUGGCUGGUUUGUCUGCAGGUCUGGGGACUGUGCAACCCCCUGGUCUCCCAAUGCCUCAGUUACUGACGCUGCAAACAAGGCAGAUUGUCCCAGAGAUUAGAGCUCUCAGGCUUUCUCGGGCUUCAAUCAAUCAAAGGAACGUAAGGACCCCUCCCCUACAGAGAGAGCCGGACGUGAGCCAGAUUUUGUCCAGACUUACUUAUAUCUGCCCUGUGGGAUCCCGAUUCUGCAAGAUUUAAUAAACAAUGCCUCAACAGAUAGCAUUUAAUUUUCAUUCAAACGUUUCCAGGGAAGAAAGAGGUAAAACUCUUGCUUGUACCAGCACAACUGCCCGAAACCCGUGGGAUACCCAGUCUGAGGCAUGUUGCUAUCGACAGUCAUUUCACACAGCUGGCAGUUUUUUCUUUUCUGAUGGCCUAGCUCUCUUUACUCCACCGUAAAUGCAAACUAAGACGAAACUUGGGAUUUACCUCCGGUGCCUAAAUGCCAACCUGACACUGUCUCAUUGUCUCCUGAGCCCAGUAGGACGGUAAUUUGUGAAAUACGGAGCCUCUCACCUCAGCAGCGCUUCUUUCUAUUCCCACACAUAUGCACAUGCUAAAAUGGAAUGUGGUAACUAGCAUAAAAUAGGGUACAACAAUUGCUGCAAGAUUUGUUUUUUUGGCUGGGCACAGUGGCUCACGUCUGUAAUCCCAUCACUUUGGGAGGCUGAGGUGGGUGGAUCUUUUGAGGUCAGGAGUCUGAGACCAGCCUGACUAACAUGGUGAAACCCAGUCUCUACUAAAAAUACAAAAAAAAAAAAAAAAAAAUUAGCCAGGCAUGGUGACACACGCCUAUAGUCCCAGCUACUCUGGAGGCUGAACCAGCAGAAUUGCUUGAACCCAGGAGGCAGAGGUUGCAGUGAGCCAAUAUCGUGCCACUGCACUCCAGCCUGGGAGACAGAGCGAGACUCCCUCUCAAAAAAAAAAAAAGAUUUUUUUUUUCUAUUGUGACUUUUCUACUUCUGUCAUCACUGCUGAGCCAAGACAGACAUGUAAGAUCCCGUCAGCACCGUACUUGGAUGCUGCAUUCACAAUUGUGAAUUCCAACCGUAGCCAUGACAAAGGAGAGAGGAGAGCUACAAAGCACUCAAAGGGAUGUCCCC